rnacentral:tRNA from 1 species
GCGAAUGUAGCUCAGUUGGCAGAGCACUUGGUUGUGGCUCAAGUGGUCGUGGGUUCGAGCCCCAUCAUUCGCCCCA